rnacentral:rRNA from 1 species
UAGGGAAUCUUCGGCAAUGGACGAAAGUCUGACCGAGCAACGCCGCGUGAGUGAAGAAGGCUUUCGGAUCGUAAAACUCUGUUGUUAGAGAAGAACAAGGACGUUAGUAACUGAACGUCCCCUGACGGUAUCUAACCAGAAAGCCACGGCUAACUACGUGCCAGCAGCCGCGGUAAUACGUAGGUGGCAAGCGUUGUCCGGAUUUAUUGGGCGUAAUGCGAGCGCAGGCGGUUUCUUAAGUCUGAUGUGAAAGCCCCCGGCUCAACCGGGGAGGGUCAUUGGAAACUGGGAGACUUGAGUGCAGAAGAGGAGAGUGGAAUUCAAUGUGUAGCGGUGAAAUGCGUAGGUAUAUGGAGGAAAAACAGUGGCGAAGGCGGCUCUCUGGUAUGUAACUGACGCUGAGGCUCGAAAGCGUGGGGAGCAAACAGG